rnacentral:rRNA from 1 species
AAAAACAUGUCCGUUUGAAUAUUGUUGUAAACGGUCUGGCCUGCCCACUGACUGUAGUUGAAGGGCCGCGGUAUUCUGACCGUGCGAAGGUAGCAUAAUAAUUAGUCUCCUAAUUAGAGGCUUGUAUGAAUGGUCGGACAAGAUGGGUGCUGUCUCAGUACGAGUAAAUAUAAAUUAAUAUUUGAGUAAAAAAGCUUAAAUGUGUUGAAGUGACGAUAAGACCCUAUAAAGCUUUAUGAUUUUUACUUUUUUGUGUAAAAUAGUUAAGUUAAAAUCACUGAAAAAGAAAAACCAUUUUACUGGGGCGGUAAAAGUAUAAAGUGAAUAACUGCUUUUGUUGUGGAUAACAAAAAUAAUUGAUAUCUAGAUUGAUCCGUUAAUAACGAUUAUAAAAACAAGUUACUUUAGGGAUAACAGCGUAAUUUUCUUUGAGAGUCCUUAUCGAAAAGAAAGUUUGCGACCUCGAUGUUGAAUUAAGAAUUACCUUAAGGUGCAGCAGCUUUAAAGGUGGAUCUGUUCGAUCCAUAAUUUCUUACGUGAUCU